AGCUUACACACAAUGUAGUGGGCUAAAAGAAAAAAAAUUGCAUCCUUUUUGAGGUCAGUGAACUUCCUAUUGGUUAACACAGUGUUUCACCAGUUGGAAAUUUCAGCUCUGCUUUGUUGUGAAUUUAAGCAGUUUUCAUUCUUAUCGUGCUGCAGUUUCAUUUGCUGGUGUCAGGAUGAUUCUUCCCAACAUAGGAGCGCUAACUGUGGUGUGCUGGAUAAUGUGUGUGAGAAACGCAGAGUCUCAGGCAUAUGCUCCAGCCCCUACAUUCGGAUAUAGAUUCAGAAUAAAUGAAAGUAAUAUUGAGCUAAACACUAUAGUAGAGGUUGCUUGUAGCACCACCUGGAAUGCUCCGUAUCCCAUAACUUUGUCUGUGGGCAGGUUGGAAAGCCCCUCGCAGACCCCAGAAACCUCAGAAGCCUGGGUGACAUCUGACGUCAUCAAUCAUUCAGAUGUCAAAUAUUUCACAAUCCCUGCAACGGCCAAGUUUGAAGGAAAAAUUGUAUGCUGGUACAAAUCCACUAAAACUCACUUAAAGAAUCCAUAUUCUGAAUUAAGCAGCCCUAUAACCUUAGUCGUAUCUGCCCUCCCUCAUCCCAAAGUGACUGUGCAACCCAAACUUUUUCGUAAGGGUGAAAAUUACAAUGUAUAUUGUGACUCAGGCGAUAUCCUAGCCACAAACUUCACACUGAGUCUGUAUUACCGCCUCCUCCCCGUCACCCCUGGCACCAACUGGACCCUCGCUGGUUCAGUGUUUCUCACAAAUGUCACCAGUAUCGUUUUAAGACAGACAAAUGUUGUUGUCCCAAUAGAGUUUGCUUGCAGUAUGGAGAUGUUGUACAAUGGGAAACUCUUACAUUCAUCUCUGUCCAACAGUGAACAAGCCAUCCCAGAAGAGCUUCCGGUUCGGCUCUGGGAGCAGGAACGUGGCGAGAGCUGUCUAGGAUAUCUGGAUAUCACUCUCAAAGGCAAGUGGGAACCUGUUUGUCAGAAGGAAAUCGAUACCACAGCCGAUUCAUCUGCCGCUGCUGCCACGGCUGAAGUGGUGUGCAGGGAACUGGGAUGUGGGCAUGUGCUGAAGUGGGAAAGGCUUUUGGACAACAGACGGCAGUUCACACAGACAGUUGGGGGCAUCAGAUGCACUGGGGAAGAAAAAAAGAUCAAAGAUUGUUCAGUGGAGGAAAUUGACGUUUGCAGGCAGAGAGGCACUCUCUAUAUUGUUUGCUCAGAUACAUUGCCCCGUCCUAAACUGUCUGUGGAUAGGUAUGGUCCUGACCCCAAACUUUAUGUCACGGACAAAGAAAAUAUGAAAAUCUCCUGCUCCAUCCACUCAGCUUAUUUAAAAUCAGACGACUAUGGGUACUUUGAGUUUCGAAAGGAUGGUGCAUAUUUGACUCAGCGUCAAAACAUGCCAGGCUACCCCGCAUCUUUCACAGAGGAUGCCCCAGUGCCUCAAGGAGAGUAUGAAUGUGUAUUCCAUCUUACGUCUUCUAAAAUUAAACCAGUGUCUCAGCCCAGCAAUUCAGUCUUCAUUUACAUAUACAUUCCUCCAGAUCCAGUGCCAAUUGUUACAGGUGUUCUCACAACUGCUGUUGGGUUAGCAGUUCUGGUGUAUAUUUGUGUAUACAGGACUGCGGCAAAAGAGGAACAGCCUAAUGAAUUUCCACAGACCAGUAGUGAAAAUCCAUAUGCCGGCCACUCAUCUCAGCAACUGGAAGCCUAA
ensembl:lncRNA